rnacentral:rRNA from 1 species
UACGUAGGGCGCAAGCGUUAUCCGGAAUUAUUGGGCGUAAAGAGCUCGUAGGCGGUUUGUCGCGUCUGCCGUGAAAGUCCGGGGCUCAACUCCGGAUCUGCGGUGGGUACGGGCAGACUAGAGUGAUGUAGGGGAGACUGGAAUUCCUGGUGUAGCGGUGAAAUGCGCAGAUAUCAGGAGGAACACCGAUGGCGAAGGCAAGUCUCUGGGCCAUAACUGACGCUGAGAAGCGAAAGCAUGGGGAGCGAACAGG